UUUAAUUUGCUAGGCGGGGUUGGCAAUUAUUUUUGGAGCGAUCCAAUCUCGCACCGUCCUCUUGGUUUCUCAAUCCCGAUCCAAUCUUCCAAUCCCCUUCGCCGCUCCUCUCCCACGUUCCCACUCCCGUCCACCUCCGCCGCCCCCACCAUCGACGCAACAACUGCAGCCACCGCCGCCAUCGGGUCCCCGAGGAAGCCUCCUGCAACGGCGACAGUCGGGCCGGGAGGAAGAGCCCGCCGUGCGCCUGCUCUUCUCGACGCUCUCGGGACGCUCGUCCAUGGCGUUAUCUUCGCAGCAGCUCCCGCGUUUCUUCCCCGACGCUGCGCUCCGGAACGCGGCCGACCCCUCCAGCACGUUGACGCACGCGUCACUACCUUCGUGGCCCUCCUCCAACGUCCACCGCGGUGGGAGCGGAGGUGCAGCCCUGCCACGACGGACACCUCCUUCCCGCGCUCCCCCCGCCUCCCGGCGUCUGAUGGUCGUCGUCAGCCACCACAGUGGGCAAGGCCAACCUCCACGACGACUAGAUCCGCCACCACCGUCACGACGAUGGCCGUCUUCCACGGCCACCCCCUACCCGCCUCACUGUCGGAUCAGUCGUCCAGGGACUCCACCCGCGCAUGCUUCACAUACUACAAUCAUGCUACUAGUUUUGUAGAUUGAGGGAAAGGAUGGCAUUUCUUGAGGAAGAUAAAGGCAUGGUUGAUGCGUAUGCUAGGCCAAGGGAUGCACAUAUUGCAUUGGGAGGACUUAAUUGUGAGACUUGAAGCACAAGAGAGAGUGCUUGAAGAGAUGGAGAAGAAACAACAAGAAGAAUUUGAAGCUGUGAAGAAGAGCCAACAAGACAAGAGUGAAGCCGGGGGAAAGAAGCAACAUGAAAUGGAUAAACUAAUGGCUUUUUCUCUCAAGUGCUCAAGCAACUUUAGUCUGAGUCCAAACCUGUGUGACUGAUUUGUGGUUAUCUAAAUGGUACUUUGCAACUUGUCUAUUGUAGCGAGUGCUAAAACUUGUGAAUUUGGCUAAGAUGAUUGCACUUAUAAUGUGAUUUGUCUUUUAUUUAAA